CAGACUAGAGUCAAGCUCAACAGGGUCUUCUUUCCCCGCUAAUUUUUCCAAGCCCGUUCCCUUGGCAGUGGUUUCGCUAGAUAGUAGGUAGGGACAGCGGGAAUCUCGUUAAUCCAUUCAUGCGCGUCA